CAAUAGCGUAUAUUAAAGCUGUUGCGGUUAAAGAGCUCGUAGUUGGAUUUCUGUCAAGGACAACUGGUCCGCCCUCCGGGUGAGCACAUAGUUUGGUCUUGGCAUCUUGCUGGAAACUGUUGCUGCACUUGGCUGUGUGGCGCAGCGUCCAGCACUUUCACUUUGAGGAAAUUGGAGUGUUUCAAGCAGGCACAUGCCUUUGGACACAGUAGCAUGGAAUAAUUAGAUUGGGCUUUUGCUCCAAUUUGUCGGUUUCUGGAGCUGAGGUGAGAAUUAAUGGGGAUUGUUGGGGGCAUCCGAAUUUAGCCGUCAGAGGUGAAAUUCUUGGAUCUGCUAAAGACGGACAACUGCGAAAGCGUUUGCCCAGGAUGUUUUCAUUGA
rnacentral:rRNA from 1 species